UACGGAGGAUCCGAGCGUUAUCCGGAUUUAUUGGGUUUAAAGGGUGCGUAGGCGGCCUGUUAAGUCAGGGGUGAAAGACGGUAGCUCAACUAUCGCAGUGCCCUUGAUACUGAUGGGCUUGAAUAUACUAGAGGUAGGCGGAAUGUGACAAGUAGCGGUGAAAUGCAUAGAUAUGUCACAGAACACCAAUUGCGAAGGCAGCUUACUAAGCUAUGAUUGACGCUGAGGCACGAAAGCGUGGGGAUCAAACAGG
rnacentral:rRNA from 1 species